UACGGAGGAGGCAAGCGUUAUCCGGAAUUAUUGGGCGUAAAGCGUCCGUAGAUGGUCGCUUCAAGUCUGCUGUCAAAGACCGGGGCUUAACCCCAGAAAGGCAGUGGAAACUGAAGUGCUAGAGUGCAGUAGGGGUAGAGGGAAUUCCCGGUGUAGCGGUGAAAUGCGUAGAGAUCGGGAAGAACAUCGGUGGCGAAAGCGCUCUGCUGGACUGCAACUGACACUCAGGGACGAAAGCUAGGGGAGCGAAUGGG
rnacentral:rRNA from 1 species